UACAGAGGUCCCAAGCGUUGUUCGGAUUCAUUGGGCGUAAAGGGUGCGUAAGUGGCGCGGUAAGUCGGGUGUGAAAUUUCGGAGCUUAACUCCGAAACUGCAUUCGAUACUGCCGUGCUUGAGGACUGGAGAGGAGACUGGAAUUUACGGUGUAGCAGUGAAAUGCGUAGAUAUCGUAAGGAAGACCAGUGGCGAAGGCGGGUCUCUGGACAGUUCCUGACACUGAGGCACGAAGGCCAGGGGAGCAAACGGG
rnacentral:rRNA from 1 species